AGAAGAAAGCAAGAGAAAGAAGGGAGUGUUAUUGGAAGUUCGGCACAAGAAUAGUCAGAAGAAAAACCGUUGUGGACUAAGUUGAGGAGAAGAAGGAACCACCAAGAACCGGCCACAGUAAGAGGUAAGGGCAAAGCUUAAGGAGCGGUGCAAUAAGUUGGAGGGGAUUCUAUCUGAAGUAUACAUACUGUGAAACAACUGACCUGCAGGAUUGUCAGGGUUCUCUUAAGUUUUCCGCUAAGUCUAGUAAUAUUUUUAUCAAUUUCAUGUUUACUAGUUUUAUUUAAAGAAGGCCCUAUG